rnacentral:rRNA from 1 species
GGUUAAGCGACUAAGCGUACACGGUGGAUGCCCUGGCAGUCAGAGGCGAUGAAGGACGUGCUAAUCUGCGAUAAGCGUCGGUAAGGUGAUAUGAACCGUUAUAACCGGCGAUUUCCGAAUGGGGAAACCCAGUGUGUUUCGACACACUAUCAUUAACUGAAUCCAUAGGUUAAUGAGGCGAACCGGGGGAACUGAAACAUCUAAGUACCCCGAGGAAAAGAAAUCAACCGAGAUUCCCCCAGUAGCGGCGAGCGAACGGGGAGGAGCCCAGAGCCUGAAUCAGUGUGU